AGUCCAGUCAAUCUGUAAUUGUACCCACAACUAAUUGCAACAGAAAUAAUUUUUCGAUAAUAUUGUAGAUAAAUAUCACCUCUUCAACAUAUCAAAAGUCUAGCAAAGUCUAGCCAGGGCAAACUACCGAAAAAUGACUUUUAAUAUGACAGAUUUUCAUGGCCCUAAAUUACCACCGUAGAAGAUAAAAUGAUCAGAUGCACGGUAUACAAGCGUUCGCGCGAUAUGAUGUGAUCGUCUGCUUUUGAUGAAAGAUCCUAGAUUUAAGUCAUUUUUGGAGGUAAGUUAAGAUGUCUUUGUUGAAUAAUAUUCUUUUCAUCUUGGAAAUUAAUGUUUUUCUCCUAACAAAUGCGUCAGUCAUAGAAGGUUGCCUACGUAAUAGACUACGUACCACUUUGUAAUUAGUUUUCGUGGAUGAUGCAGGAACUUAUAGUUUUCUUCAAAUAUGCAAUAAAGUCAGCAGCAAACACACAUUUUACACAAAUAUACAUAUGUAGGCAUCUAAGGAAUGCUUUAAACACACAAACAAAUAUGAAAAAUAAAAGAGAAAAGAUCGAGAUUUUAAUAUUUUUUUAAACUACGGAAGGCCAUUUGUACCAUAACGUUUUUGUUGUGGCCAUUUGUACCAUAACGUUUUCGUAUUACUUCUUUUUCCCUAUAACUUCUAUCUAUCUAUAUAUACUGCUAGUCGCCAACAAUAAGCAUUACAAGCAGGUGCGUGUCAGUGCUAGGAAAUUAAGGAAGAAGUGUAUAGGAGAUAAAAGUAAUACAUAAUGUAUUUGUGAGACAUAGAAACAAAGGUGAUAGUGUUAGUUAAAAGAAGGAAUAUACAGAUAAAAGGUUAAAAACAGCCAACCUGCUUAGAAACUGUGGUCUAGUUUGGUCACCCCCAGCCUAAACUGGUCCAGGGUAGGUGCCUGUACAAUAUUGGCUGGUAGAGAGUUCCAUAGGACAAUAGUGGCUGGUAGAAGGAGAAUUUAUAGUAGUUGCUUGGAGUAGGGAUUUGUCUGAAUGAAAGAGGGUGCAAAUGUCUAGUGAGCUGGGUCGGAGGAGUGACAUAGGGAGGCAUUGGUACAGCAACCAGUCCGUGGACAAUUUUAUAGAACAUCAGUAGCCGGGAGUCGUACCUUCUGUUCUCAAGUGAACGCCACCCUAAUUUGUCUAGCAUGUGUGUGACACUGUUGUGAUAUGAGUAAUCAUUUGUAACCCAUCGAGCGGCCCUGCGUUGGACCAUCUCGAUCUUGUUUAUGUUGUGUUGUGUGUGUGGGCUCCACACUGAGCUACUAUACUCAAGUUGUGGGCGGACCAGGGUUUUGAAGGCAAAUUCUCUAAUGCGUGGGUGUUUUAUGGGAAUGUUUCGUUUGAUGAAGUUUAGUGUUUGACUGGCUGUUGCAGUAACCUGGUUUAUGUGUUUAUUCCAGCUGAGGUCAGAUGUGAUGCUAACACCCAAGUAUUUAGCAUCACUAACUGUUUCUAGAAUAUGACCGUGGAGUGUAUGUUAGAUCAACAAUCAACGAUGUCAAAGGUGUGGGUUUAGAAUUUCAAAAAAAGAUGCUAAUAUGGAACUGCCAAACAAUCUGAUCAGCACCAAACCUGCUGCAGCUGCAUCGGAAAACAAUACCUUCCUGAUAUGAUGUCAAUCACUUGCAGAUUACCAAGACCAUGUUAAGUUACGCCAGAAGGAAGUGAUAGCAUAAAUGCUGCCAGCGAAGUUCGCUUGGACAAGAUUACUUCCAUACCCGGACAGACCGUUCAUACGUACAUUGUCGGAAAGAUUAUUGUAACCCAAUUCGAAUCAAGCUAUCCUUAAAUAAAAAGCCAACAAAGACUGUAUUAUCUCCACCAUUACGAUCUAACACUGAACGAUUUAACUUCAGUACAAAUUGUCUAUUUUGUGCUCAACGUGCCAAAUUUGUUGGAAGAAAACGAGGCUAUAAUGUAUACCCUGUUAGAACAGUUGAAUUUAAAAAGAACAUAGAACAAAUAUGUAUCGAUAGGGAUGACAAACAGGGUUCAGAUAUUAAGAGCAGAUUGGAAACAAUACAUGACUUAGCGGCUGCUGUUGCUAUAUACCAUUAGUCAUGCAGCGUAAAUUUUAGGACAGGUAAAAAUAUACCACAGUCAGGCAAUGAAAAAGGAAAGAAGUGUGGAAGACCAGUGAACAUGGCACAGGAAUUUGCUUUCCAGGAAAUAGCAAAGUUCCUGAUUGAAAAUGAUGACGAACAAAUAACACUAAAAGACCUUGUUGACAAAAUGGUAGAACUAUGUGGAGAACUCUCCUAUACAUUAACUCAUAUGAAGAAGAGAUUACUAGAGCAUUUUGGGUCCUCUAUUGUCAUCACAGAAUUAAAUGGAAAGCAGAAUGUAAUCACAUUUAGAAACACUGCAUCAUCAAUUCUUCAUUCAUUUUACCAAAAGUCUAGUAGCGAUUCUGAUGCUUAUAAAAUUGAAAUAAUAAAAACAGCAGCACAACUAUUGCUAACUGAUAUAAGGGAUAUUAAAGCAACAAUAACAAUGAUUUAAUAGUAACAUGUAUUUAAUGGGUGGGUGGGGUAAGUUUACCCCUAUAAAUGCACUAUUUACAUGAGUAAAUAUGUUAAGAAACUUCAUGAUACACUUAGGUAAUAGAAAAAUAAUACUGUUUUCAUAACUGAUGUAUUACUGAAUACUGUUUUUGUCGGGUGGUUUGCUCGAAAUGUGUUGUUUGAAUAGAAAAUGGAAAAUAUACUUUAUUUAAAAAAACGUCCGCGAGGGGCAUAAAUAAAAUGAAGUUUUAACAGGUUUGCCCUGGAAAUAUUUCGCUAGACUUUUUUUCUGUCAUCUGUUAUACGUCAUAGAUGAUUUUACACGUGAAACCGUUUCUGUUGCAAUUAGUUGAUGGUUAGGUGCUUUUUUUUCAUAGGAUGACUGGACUAUACGGAGGAAUCCGAGAUAGCCGAUGUAUCACGAUUGACAGGCGAUAUUUAGAUUGUAUUUCUUAAAUAAAUAAAUUGGAUAAAUGUUAGAAAUUAAAAACAAAUGCAACAGCAAG